CUCAAUGAGGCCUCCAUUGACAGCAAUGACAUUUCAUCUCUCAAGAUCCUUUAAUGUAUUAAAAACAUAUUUAAAUCAGUUCAUGUGAGUACAGUGGUUCAAUAUUAAUAUUAUAAAGCGACAAGAAUUUUUGGUGCACCAAAAAAAACAAAAUAACGACUUAUAUAGUGAUGGACGAUUUCAAAACACUGCUUCAGGAAGCAUCAGAGCGUUUAUGAAUCGGUGUCGAAUCAUGAUUUGGAUCACGUUUCAAACUGCUGAAAUCACAUGACUCUGUGCUCCGAACUGCUGAUUCGUUGCUGGCAAUGGAGGCCUCACUGAGCCAUCGGAUGUAAUCGAAAAUGUCUUCAUUUGUAUUCUGAAUAUGAACGAAGGUCUUAGGGUGUGAAACGACAUGAGGGUUAUUUUUGGGUGAACUAACCCUUUAACACUGUUUAUCAGACUUGUCAGAGACUCCAGGAUGAGACUGCGAGGCUAGCUGAACUAAAAACAGAGCUACAGUGCACAGAUGAAUUGGUGUCACAGUGGCUCUCUGAUGUGAAGGAAUGGGCAGCUGAUGAGACACCAGAUACAUCUCAUGCCAGCAGCACACACAGAGGACUUCAGCAGUCAAUUGAGGGGCUUUAUCUUCGUGUGAGGCAGCGGAAGCAAACCCUUUACCGCCAGAAUGUGCUGAUGUCCUUCAUCCACUCUGGACUCACUCAAGGUAUUGUGCUGUUUAUUAAACAGAUAUGAAUAGUGUUGUAGGAGUUUAUUUGUCUACAUGGAUCACAUGAGGAUCACACAUUUGUCUCUUUGCUGAUAAUUCAUGUUCAUAUUUUACUGUCGUUCAUCUUCACCCAUCAUCAUUUGUGUGUGUAGGUCCUCAUGCUGCUAAAACACUGCUAUUUCUGCACUUUGUGAUGAAAGUAAAAUAAAUAAAUAAAUAAAUAAAAUAAAAAGCUUAUUGUAGUCUAUUGCAAAAAUGUGCCAUUAACUCUUUUGUGAUGUUCAGGGUUAUUUUAGAUGCCAAAUGACAAAAUAAAAAAAUGUUCCCAUCAUAUGCUCUAACAAAAAGAAAAGAAAAAAAAAAGUUAACUCAC
rnacentral:lncRNA from 1 species